UGUUUCCAUUAGCUGAUCGACACAUGUAGCCACGUUAACUUUAUCUGUAACUGUACCGAUAGUCAUAGCAAAGACUGUUUGUUCCUUUCAAACACAGAGUUACAUAGAAGCAGUACCAAGUUCAUGUUAUGUGUUGCUGAGAGAUAUGUUAAUAUAAGAGAAACUUUAAAGAAACUGGGAAGAUAUAUAUUUUGACAUUUAAGUUUUGUCAUUUACAUGGUGUUAAAAUGCAUGUGAACAUUUAUUUUGUGCUUGCCAUGGGACUUUUAUUUAUUGUUCGAAAAAAAAAAGAGAGAGACUUUUACAUGUUCGGUCUGGGUUUUUUCCGGGGAGAAGACGAAAAGGGGCGGGGGCAAAAAGGGAGCGCGGAGGAGAAGAGCAGGGAGAGAGGAGAGAGGGAGAGAAAGGGAGAGAGAGCGAAGAUUGUGGCUGAAGAGGGACUUGUUUCAUGGAUUCCACUGGACAACUGUAAAGAGUGAGAACCAGGGAGGGCUUGUGUGAAAGAGAUUGGAACUCAUCUGUGCUUUUGGGGUGCUCGUCACUUCGUGCUGCCACCCAUAGCAACUUGAUCGGAAGGAGGAGUUGAGCAGCCAGGUGUAGAAGCAGUGUUAAAGCCCGUCGCUGGUGUUUAUUCUGGUCGGUAUUUUUCGGGGAUUAUUUUUUUGUUUGUUUUUCUCUCCACCGGACCACCAUUUUGGGAUAUUCAAUCUUCAGACUGAACUACUCAGAGCGAGGACAGCACGGAAUACAGACGACCCACGUUGGCUCCUCAACUGGCUCAGUUACCUCCAAAAACCGUUCUGAACUUGGAGUGCGAGUGUUGUCCCACGUGACAACAGAAGCCAGUUUAGGAGCUUCUCCAGAUAGCUGCACAUCUCUCAGUACCCUGAUAAGAUUCAACAAAUUUCCUCACUAGGAGUGCCGGUAUAAGACUCAUCGAGGUAAAAAUGUCACGAAGUCUGUCAGAUCAGGAUCCAUAUUUGAAAGGAGCAAGAUCCGUCUACAAAGUUGGAUGCAGUUUAUAUACAGGUUUGCACAGUGAUUAAAGCUGCGACAAAUCGAUCUAAUUCAAGAUGGUGUUUCUAGAAGCACACGUACGCUGUCCAAAAUGAGUAAAAAAACUGCGAAUGAUCUGCAAAAGAGCAUUAAAGCGAAAAAGGAGAAGCACAGGACAACACCUGGGAGGACACAGGGAGUUUGUAGUAAUAGACGAAAGUAACUUCUGCCACAAACGCAAGUAUGGUCGAGGUAGAUUUGGCCGGACCUGGAACAGAAGAAAGUGGGUUUUUGGAUUACUGGGCGUCAGAGAACAAAGAAGAAGACCCAUUCUCCGAUUGGUGGAAAAAAAAUCUCGACGUCAUUUACUUCCAAUUAUCAGAAAGCAUGUACGUAGAGGUUCAACAAUUAUCAGUGAUCAAUGGAGGGCUUACAUGGGUGCUCUUCAUAAUGCAGGUUACACACAUUUUAGUGUAAACCACAAGAGAUGGUUUGUUGACCCUCAGAGUGGUGGUCAUACACAGCAUUUGGAAAGAGCUUGGGGUAUCUACAAAGGCCAGAUCUGGAGACUACGAGGUAACAGAACUGAAAAUCUGUUAAAGGAGCACCUGUCAGUUAUUGAGUGGACCUACUGGCUGGGAAAGAACCACCGUGAGGGUCCUCUUGGGCGUCUCCUUAAAGACAUACGCCAGUAUUUUCCAGUGUAGGCAACCAUUUCAAAAUGUUUAAAACAAAGCAGUUAUAAAAAAUAACUAUAUACAGUAUUGUGCAAAUGUUUUCGGCACCCGUGGGAAUGUCGGUAAAGAAUAAGCUUCUU